rnacentral:rRNA from 1 species
UACGGGGGGUGCAAGCGUUGUUCGGAAUUACUGGGCGUAAAGCGCGUGUAGGCGGUCUGGUAAGUCGGUUGUGAAAUCCCCGGGCUUAACCCGGGAACUGCAUCCGAAACUGCUGGGCUAGAGUUCCGGAGAGGAAGGCAGAAUUCCCAAUGUAGGGGUGAAAUCCGUAGAUAUUGGGAGGAAUACCAGUGGCGAAGGCGGCCUUCUGGACGGUGACUGACGCUGAGACGCGAAAGCGUGGGGAGCAAACAGG